UACGAAGGGAGCUAGCGUUGUUCGGAAUUACUGGGCGUAAAGGGCGCGUAGGCGGUUCGGCAAGUUGGAUGUGAAAGCCCAGGGCUCAACCCUGGAAUUGCAUUCAAGACUGCCUUACUUGAAUUCGGUAGAGGUUGGUGGAAUUCCCAGUGUAGAGGUGAAAUUCGUAGAGAUUGGGAAGAACACCCGUGGCGAAGGCGGCCAACUGGACCGACAUUGACGCUGAGGCGCGAAAGCGUGGGGAUCAAACAGG
rnacentral:rRNA from 1 species